rnacentral:rRNA from 1 species
AACGCGAAGAACCUUACCAGGGUUUGACAUCCUCGGACAUCCCAUGAAAGUGGGCUUUCUUCGCAAGAAGACCGGGAGACAGGUGUUGCAUGGUUGUCGUCAGCUCGUGUCGUGAGAUGUUGGGUUAAGUCCCGCAACGAGCGCAACCCUUGUCCUAUGUUGCCAGCAACCGAUUCGUCGGGUUGGGGACUCGUGGGAGACUGCCGGGGUCAACUCGGAGGAAGGUGGGGACGACGUCAAAUCAUCAUGCCCCUUAUGUCCUGGGCUGCACGCAUGCUACAAUGGCCGGUACAAAGGGCUGCGAUACCGUGAGGUGGAGCGAAUCCCAUAAAGCCGGUCUCAGUUCGGAUCGGGGUCUGCAACUCGACCCCGUGAAGUCGGAGUCGCUAGUAAUCGCAGAUCAGCAAUGCUGCGGUGAAUACGUUCCCGGGUCUUGUACACACCGA